rnacentral:sRNA from 1 species
AGGCAUGGCAGCACAUGCCUGUAAUCCCAGCAACUUGGGAAUUGAGGCAGGAGGAUCGUGAGUUCAAAGCCAGCCUCAGCAACUUAAUGAGGCCUUAAGCAACUCAGCGAGACCCUGUCUCUA